AGUUAUUGAGGCCGUUCGAAGCUACGCUGUAGCUGUAGCUGAGCUGUAUUCAAAACGCCACAAGGACUAUAAAAAUAAAAAAAUUUAAGACGAAGCUUGGGAUGCUGUAGCUGUGGUGCUGGAAAAUACGCCUAACAACUGCAAAACCAGAUGGCGAACAUUGUGUGACCGGAAUCGGAAAGAAUUGGCGGAAAGCACUGGUCCGUCUGGUAGUGGAAGCUCCUACAGGAAGCCGUGGAAGUUAAAAGUACAUGUACAAACGUGGAGCAUUUGGAAGACGAGGAGGAUCCAGUACCAUAGCGCGAAACGUCGGCGAAGAAGAAAAAACACGACGACUUCUUUGAGGACGUACUCGUUAAAAUGCAGCUUAAGUACGACAGUGUAGAGGGUGGGCAGGAAGAUGAAUCUUUCUUCGCCUUACUGCGAAGUAAAUUCAUUCGUUUUUUCUCCAGAAGAAAAGGACGAGAUGCAAGUAGAUAUUCUACAAUUGAUCGCAAAUAAACUAAAAAAUAAAAGUGUAAAUUAAA